rnacentral:rRNA from 1 species
GAGCGGGCGUAGCAAUACGUCAGCGGCAGACGGGUGAGUAACGCGUGGGAACGUACCUUUUGGUUCGGAACAACACAGGGAAACUUGUGCUAAUACCGGAUAAGCCCUUACGGGGAAAGAUUUAUCGCCGAAGGAUCGGCCCGCGUCUGAUUAGCUAGUUGGUGAGGUAAUGGCUCACCAAGGCGACGAUCAGUAGCUGGUCUGAGAGGAUGAUCAGCCACAUUGGGACUGAGACACGGCCCAAACUCCUACGGGAGGCAGCAGUGGGGAAUAUUGGACAAUGGGCGCAAGCCUGAUCCAGCCAUGCCGCGUGAGUGAUGAAGGCCCUAGGGUUGUAAAGCUCUUUUGUGCGGGAAGAUAAUGACGGUACCGCAAGAAUAAGCCCCGGCUAACUUCGUG